rnacentral:lncRNA from 1 species
CACAGAGCAACACAUACACUGGAAACAGAAAAAAGUAAAACAAGAAAAGAAUGAAAAAAUGAGUGACAUGGAAAUGAAUGCUGUUUUGUAAUACCUUACCUGCCAUGUAUCCUGAGUCCUGAAUGUCUGUGCCAAUAAACACUUCCAGAUGUAUUUAUCAUUACCUCACAUCCCGCUGAGGCAGACACAGCUGUGUUGUUUGGAGUUUCGAAAACUUGGCAUAGAAGUCUAAAAGGACGUCUCCCAGUUUAGACACACCCAGGGACCAACAUGUCUGUGGCUCCAUUACUGCUGUGCACUUCCAGGAUGAG